rnacentral:rRNA from 1 species
CGGACGGGUGAGUAACACGUGGAUAACCUACCUAUAAGACUGGGAUAACUUCGGGAAACCGGAGCUAAUACCGGAUAAUAUUUUGAACCGCAUGGUUCAAAAGUGAAAGACGGUCUUGCUGUCACUUAUAGAUGGAUCCGCGCUGCAUUAGCUAGUUGGUAAGGUAACGGCUUACCAAGGCAACGAUGCAUAGCCGACCUGAGAGGGUGAUCGACCACACUGGAACUGAGACACGGUCCAG